UACGAAGGGGGCUAGCGUUGUUCGGAAUUACUGGGCGUAAAGGGCGCGUAGGCGGUACUUCAAGUCAGGCGUGAAAGCCCCGGGCUCAACCUGGGAACCGCGCUUGAGACUGGAGAACUAGAGUUCGGGAGAGGAUGGUGGAAUUCCCAGUGUAGAGGUGAAAUUCGUAGAUAUUGGGAAGAACACCGAUGGCGAAGGCAGCCUCCUGGGAUAACACUGACGCUCAGGCACGAAAGCGUGGGGAGCAAACAGG
rnacentral:rRNA from 1 species